rnacentral:rRNA from 1 species
AUUGAACGCUGGCGGCAGGCCUAACACAUGCAAGUCGAACGGUAGCACAGAGAGCUUGCUCUCGGGUGACGAGUGGCGGACGGGUGAGUAAUGUCUGGGAAACUGCCUGAUGGAGGGGGAUAACUACUGGAAACGGUAGCUAAUACCGCAUAACGUCGCAAGACCAAAGAGGGGGACCUUCGGGCCUCUUGCCAUCGGAUGUGCCCAGAUGGGAUUAGCUUGUUGGUGAGGUAAAGGCUCACCAAGGCGACGAUCCCUAGCUGGUCUGAGAGGAUGACCAGCCACACUGGAACUGAGACACGGUCCAGACUCCUACGGGAGGCAGCAGUGGGGAAUAUUGCACAAUGGGCGCAAGCCUGAUGCAGCCAUGCCGCGUGUGUGAAGAAGGCCUUCGGGUUGUAAAGCACUUUCAGUGGGGAGGAAGGCGGUGAGUUUAAUAAGCUCACCGAUUGACGUUACCCGCAGAAGAAGCACCGGCUAACUCCGUGCCAGCCGCCGCAGUAA